GCGGCACUUCGAAGCAGGUGAGGGAGCGACCGUCUUUUGAACCGUAAUGAAUCUCUGGGGUGCUGCGGCUAGUCAGCCUGUGUGCACGGCCUGUCCCGUUCGCGCUCGUGGCUCGCGACGCGCGCGGCCGGGGCAGGAAAGCCUAAUGGUUGGCUCGUGGCGCCCACCUUUUUCAGAGGUUCGAGACCUAGCUACCCACGGCCAAGCAGUCCGCU
rfam:Acidobacteria bacterium 13_1_40CM_4_61_5 13_1_40cm_4_scaffold_2210, whole genome shotgun sequence.